rnacentral:rRNA from 1 species
CUCAGAUUGAACGCUGGCGGCAGGCUUAACACAUGCAAGUCGAGCGGAAACGAGAAUAGCUUGCUAUUCGGCGUCGAGCGGCGGACGGGUGAGUAAUGCUUGGGAAUAUGCCUUAUGGUGGGGGACAACAGUUGGAAACGACUGCUAAUACCGCAUAAUGUCUACGGACCAAAGGGGGCUUCGGCUCUCGCCUUUAGAUUGGCCCAAGUGGGAUUAGCUAGUUGGUGAGGUAAUGGCUCACCAAGGCGACGAUCCCUAGCUGGUUUGAGAGGAUGAUCAGCCACACUGGGACUGAGACACGGCCCAGACUCCUACGGGAGGCAGCAGUGGGGAAUAUUGCACAAUGGGCGCAAGCCUGAUGCAGCCAUGCCGCGUGUGUGGAAAGAAGGGUCCCCUUGGGGUUGUAAAACGGCACUUUUCAGGUCAGGAGGUAAAGGUUAGUAGUUAAUACCUGCUAGCUGUGACGUUACUGACAGAAGAAGCACGGCUAACCG